AAAAGCUAGAAGAACCCCCAUUUUCGCAGCUAUGUUUCAGCAAAGAGUCACCUUAGCAAAACGGACGUAUCUCUCAAUCCAACCGUUGGAUCGUUGCGGUACUUGGACACAACGUUCCUGACCCAUAGAGGUGUGUCUCCUAGUGAUGUUAGAAAGGAUUUCUUUUGGAGAAAAGCUUAGAGCUAUGGUGAAAGAGUCCAUAUUUACCAAGGUACUCAAGUAUAGCUGUGGAAGUUUGUAGAUUCACCGUGUCUGGUUGGUGUGUCGCUCUGAUACGUAGCACUCGGGGG